rnacentral:rRNA from 1 species
AGUGAACGCUGGCGGUAGGCCUAACACAUGCAAGUCGAACGGCAGCACAGUAAGAGCUUGCUCUUACGGGUGGCGAGUGGCGGACGGGUGAGGAAUACAUCGGAAUCUACUUUUUCGUGGGGGAUAACGUAGGGAAACUUACGCUAAUACCGCAUACGACCUACGGGUGAAAGCAGGGGAUCUUCGGACCUUGCGCGAUUGAAUGAGCCGAUGUCGGAUUAGCUAGUUGGCGGGGUAAAGGCCCACCAAGGCGACGAUCCGUAGCUGGUCUGAGAGGAUGAUCAGCCACAGUGGAACUGAGACACGGUCCAGACUCCUAGGGGAGCCCGCAGGGGGGAAUAUUGGACAAGGGGCGCAAGCUGGACCCAGCCAUCCCGGGUGGGGGAAAAGGGCUUUGGGGUUGUAAGCCCUUUUUGUGGGGAAAAAAAAGCAGCAGGUUAAUCCCCCGUUGUCCUGACGUCACCAAAAAAAAAAGCCCCGGCUACCUUGGUC